rnacentral:lncRNA from 1 species
UCACCAUUAGAUCGAACACCUAAUAAAACAGCACCAACUGUCAACAGAACCACUGCAUUGAUAGAGUAGGGUGUGAAUUUUAGCUUCACUAUGAAGAAAGCACCUAUUGCCGUGAAGGCAAGUUGAGCAGCAAGAAGAAGUGAAGAGGUUGAUACGGGAAGUUUUGAUCCGCCCCACGAAUAGAGAAAAUCAUCAACACCGGUGACAAUGCCAAUAAUGAAUGAUGCAAUGAAAAUUCGGGGUGUUAUAAAGCAUAACUUGGCACUAGAACCUUCAGUUUUUCGGCGAUAGAAGUAUAGAAUGGCAAGAGGUAUAAGGGUGAAUGGCCAUCCAGCAGUUUGUAACCAACUGCUAAACCAUACUCUUGAACCUCCCUCGACAUAAUAAAGACGCAUCAUUAGAGGACCACCGCAGAUACCAACAGCAAGUACUAAACAGUUAAUGAGCAGGAGGAUUUUCCUCAUAGUGGUGUUUAAUCCAUGAUGUUCCAUACUUUUUUUCAAGUGAUUUGGAUACUAAAUUGGAGUAGUAUGCUGCUUAGGCUGAAUGGUCUUCUUCUUCUACUAAUGUUUGGAUUUUUGGAUCUCUUGCAGUGAUAGAUCUGCAGCCUGUGCCUAUUUAUAAUUGAGAAACAUUUUAGUCAUUCCCAUGAUUUGUUUCACGACAUGGAGUGACCCCACUUUAAGAAGGCUUUCUUAUGAUUUAAUUAAUUAUGGUACUAGUAAUUUUCACAUGAUUCACAAGGGGAGGACAUAACAAUAAAAAAAUAAGUAUUAGAGCAAAGACCUAAAAAGCAAUGAUUGUGAGUAGUUUUGUUAUUAAAUUGCAGCGUUGAAUUUCUAGGGAAAACUAAUAGCCCACCAUGGACUGUGCCGUGUAAAUAGCCUUGACUAUUCUAACUGUUAGCGUUGAAUUUUGCAUUUGCACUUGUGAAGACAAAAAUAUGGGUUAAAUUUAACAACGAUGGACAAACGUGUUUUAGUUAAGAAUUGAAUAAUUAUUAGUGGGUCGGUAGAAUUUUGCAUUUCCACUUGCCAACAAUAAUAGCUUGUCUUAUAUCAAAAGAUUCCCUCCGUUUUGGCUAUGUGCACUUUUUAAUAAAUGUCAGACAUGUUUACAACACGAUCAAUAAAAAUAGAGAAAUUAAGAAAAAGAAAAUCAAAGUUGGAUGGCGUCAUAGUUUUUUGUUUAUUCAUCACCAGACUGUUUAGACUCAGCUGAUCAGCAAUGUUGUACCUUUGAAAAUAUUAGCUAAGUAUUGUGACACAUAUUAGUGAAUUUUGAAAUAAUUUUUUAUAUAAUUUAAUAGAGAUAGAGGAGUUAUUUUUUUUUAUGUAUUUCCAUACAAAAUGAUUCUAUCUUGGCUACAUUACAAAUAAAAAACAGUUUUAAUUGAAUUAGAGCUUAAUUAGAUGAAUUAUAUGAUUUUCUUUUAAAAUGAUGAAAAAGAAAAGAGCAUUAGAGUAAAUUUUUUAUUUAUAGACAUACGAAUAUACAUAGUUUGAAUACAUGAUUCUCUAAGUGUAGCAUAUACUAAAUAUAUAUAUUUUGGAAAAUGGCUAGAACUGACCCUGAACUAUAGUUUCAGGGUUAAAAAUACCCUCCAUCCACCUAUUGAGCCAUUGGUAUUCCUAACGUUAUUUUCCUGGCUUUUACAUGUCACUCCAACUAACGGCUCAUAUCUAAAAAAAGAAAGAAAGUUUAAUUACUAAUUACGUUGCAAUUUCUCAUUGCCCUAUAUUAAAACAAAAGACCCCUUUUACAUAUCCGGUCUGGUGAAUCUUACCCGCCCCAAAAAAAACCACCCGCUCCGACCUAUAAACAAAUAACCUAAAUAAAACACUGAUUGUAUCUUAUCUGUUAGCCAUCGUUCUUCUCUCCUCUUUGCAGACCAAAAUUCCCCAUCUCUCACCUCUCAAAUUGAAUUCUCAAAUUCAACAAAAUCAAGUUGGAGUCCUCUAUAAUGUCGAAAUCUUCUACUUCUUUUCGUGAAUCAGGUCAGUCCCGCAUAAGUUUUUGCGGAUUGACUGCUAACCAGUUUACUGCUACGCCGCCUAUGAAUGGUGGUCGUACAUUCUUCAAAUGUCCUCGUCCUGAAGACAUUGUUUGUCGUUAUUUGGAAUGUUGCGAUGAAGAUCUUCCGCCCCAUGUGUCAAUGUUUAUCCAUACUCAAAAGAUUUCAUUGAAUGCCCUUCAUAAAGAAAGGAACAGUUUGAAGAAGACCUUAGAUAAAUUCUUAGGUAGUAAUACUGCAGAUAUGAACAAAGUGAUUUGCUUGGAGAAGAAAGUGUCGAAUUUGGAAUCAAAUUUGAAACGAUGAAAAAAAAAUUUGUUGUUGUCAUGGGCAUCUUUUUGUUUGUUUUGUAUCCUUGAUGACCAUGUGCUGAAAUUGAAAUUGCAUUUUCUUUUGUUGUAUUACGUUAAUGGCUGGGUCAAAUGAAGUUGUGUGGCUGUUAAAUGUUAGUUGGUAUCCAGUUUUAACAACUUUGUUGUUGUGGAUGUAAUAGAAAUAUUUGCAGGUGCACUGCAAUGUACCCAACUCAGUUAGUUUUUUGUUUGUCAAUGAACAAAUAUGCAAUUUUUGUAGUAAUUCUUGUUGUGUUCAAUCAAGAAUUUUGACUAUUGUCCAUUAUAAUCUCUCUGUCUUUUUUUUUUUGGAUCAUCUGUUUUUGGUUUUUGAUACACUAAGGCAUAUGAAUAGAUAGGAAAUAUUAUAAAGUCAUUGGAAUUGCACUUCAAACAUACGUGAAGUGUACUAAAAACACUAUGCAACAACCACAUAAGAGAUUCAUCAAAGAUAGAUAAUUAGAGGACAUAAGACAUGAUAAUUAACAACCAUAAAGACUUAUGAAUGUUGUUACAUUGUUUCACCACAAAUUAAGCCCAUCAAAAAUAAUUUGGAUUGAAUCAACACAACACCAUUCAUAACUGAUUCACCACAAAAUAACAAAAAAAUGUGAAGUUUGAAUUAGUCAUUACAAAACAUUCAAGGAUCUAAAUGAAGUGGCUGCUACUUAGAGGAAGUUUUAGCUCUCUUAGCCUUUAGCUUUCCAACUCUUGCUUCCUUUUCGGCUAUCAAUUGGUUAGGAGUCACAGCUGUUUUACCUUUCCAAGUCACCUUUUUGGGUUAAUAGGGUAGAUUAGUUGGCAAUUUACACCAGUUUCAUCUCCCUUAAAACUAAUAUUCCUGGUAUCAGUAGGUAUUUGGUGCAACUUUCUUUGUUGAAGCAUAGUCCAAGCUUCAGAUAUCAGCACUGGCCUCAAAUCCGGAUCUUCAUCAUCAUCUCCAUCUCCAGUAACAUCAUCAAUAUCAUCUUCAUCUACUAGUAUAUUUGAAGGUGUAGCAGCUUGUUUACUUGUCUUCUUAGUUGCAGAAGGUUUGUGUUGAGUAGCUUUGUUUGGUUGACUGGUUUGUUGAGCAGAUUUUUUUGCUUGACUGGUUUGUUGGGUAGAUUUCUUUGCUUGAAUAGGCAGUUGAGCUGGUGGUUCACUAAAAGAAACAUUGUAUCCAAGGGUAUGCAUGAAGGCAAAAUAUGAAUUUUGAUUGUCUUCAGGUGCUGUCAAGGGCACAUCUUCCACUGUUUGAGAACAUUCUCCUUAGAACAAAUGCUUGUGCUUACCAUGAACCUACAAGACAUAAAACAUAUGUUUACUAUGGAACUAAAAUUGUUCAACUACAAACAAAUUUUAGUAAGGAAUAAAAGAUUACCAAUGGACAAGUUCUAAUAUUGUGACCAGGUUCACUACAGUACUCACAUGAAAGUAGUCUUUUCCUUGAAGCAGAACAUAACCCCUCUCUCUUCCUAGCAUCAUCCUUUUCUCUUGUUCUCUUUUUGGUCUACCAACCAUUUUGCUCCAUAGUGUAGCCAUGUAAUUUUUGACUCUCCCCAAGAUUUUUUAUAUUUUAGCAUGUAAAUAUUUAAUUUAGGCCUAAUAUCGCUAUUUCAACUAAUUUUGACUCUUUUACUUUAUUUUAUUACAAGAAAAUGAAAAUUACAAAAAAUAGUUUUAUUAAUGUUUUGCAGUCAUUUUUAAUCUUGAAAAAUACAAAAAAUAGUUUUGUUUUAACGGUCAGUCUUAUUUUAAUAGUUAUUUUACUUAAGUAGGAUUAAUUAAUAAAUGAGAUCGUAUUUUUAGUCUCGUUCGCAUUGAAAGAAUAAAAUUUGGGCUCAAACGGCCUAUUUUUAAGCCUAAUUUUCGGAUCUAAUCCAUAAUUCUCAAGCCUAUAAUUCCUAGACUCAUACCCCUUAACCUAAAAACCCCAACAAAGACCUGUAUCCCUACGCUCUACAAUCAGCCGAAAAGGACAACAAAAAAAUGGACCUAGAUGCCUAACACACAAGGAGCGCCGUUUUCAUCCUAAAACCCCACCCUGAAGAUUGUCUUCUUCACCACCCCCCAAGCAAACAAGACCAGUCGCUGAACACUGUCUUAUUUCGUUUCACCUAUUACGGAGAGUUAAAUCCUAUUUUUUCUUCUUGAAUUACUGAGUUACAAAACUUAAUCGGAUUUUAAGAUAUAAGAUAUUGUAACUAUUUGGAAAAUCAGAAAUCAAACACUGAAAUCUAGAUUGUUUGACUAGGACUUAUGGCCUAGUGGUAAUACUGGACUCUUCAUAUGAGCAUUCAAAUUAGCACCUUCCAUUAGCUGUUUUUUAGCACGUUCGUGACCGCCCCCCAGUCGCUAAACCAGCCACCACAGUUCGCCGGAAACCACCUAACCAGACCGGCGAGCUAUCAGAAGUAGGCGAAAAUCCAAUAGAAGCUUUGAGCAGAAAAUUCCUAGAGUUUUCCGGCGCCGUCGAGGUUCGAUUUGAAAUCGUUGCUCUUUGAUUCCGAUUUGAGGUUGAGUUUCAAUUUGUUCAAAGGUCCGUUCCCUUUUUGCUAGUAUCCGUGAUGUUUAUGGUCAUGAUUAAGUCGCAAUUCUUUAAAUUGUAUAUUUCUCGUUAGCUUUGUUGAGUAUGAAUUUUAUUGUAAUACUUUGUGCCUACUUGUUUUGGAGGAUUUGUUGGUUUAAAUUCCAUUAUCAAUUUGUUGGAUUGUUGAGAAUUCUGAACUUGUAGCAAUUUUGUGUGAAAAUUUUGUAUGUAGCUGCUAUUGUGAGUUUGUGGAUGAGAAAUGGACGUGACCUCCAUAGUUAUUCUCGGAAAAAUUCAAAGCUGUGACUAAUAUUAAAAACGAGUGGAUUUUUUUGGAGCUUAUUUGAUCCUGUUGAUGUUAUCUUAGUAUGUCAAUUUUAUGGGUUCAUAGAAUUUCUGUUGGUAUGUCUUUAAUUUUAUAAUUUAGAUACAAUUCAUAAAUAUUCGUAGAAAAGUUUUUAGGCGUGUUUAAUAUACCAUCGUGAUUGCGUACACGUUCGCGUGACAUGAUUGCGAUUUUUAAAAACAAAACCAAAGUAUGCGUUCGCACAACUUCGACCAAACUUUCUUAAUAAUAAUAAAGCGUUAUUAAUUGUGGACACGUUCGCGUGACAUGAUUUUUGACGCACCAAACAAAUGGGUACACGUACGCGUGACCCGUUGCAAGAUAAUUUCUUAAUUAAAAGAGGCAAAUGCACAUAGGUUCUUAAACAUGUAAUUAGACAAUUUGAUUUAGCCAAGUAUGAUUAAGGCGACCGUGUUAAAACCACGGAACCCGGGAAUGCCUAAUACCUUCUUCCGGGUUAACAUAAUUCCUUGCCCGGAUUUCUGUAUUCGCAGACCGUGAUUAGAGUCAAACUUCCUCGAUUCAGAAUUUUAAACCGGUGACUUGGGACACCAUAAAUUAUCCCAAGUGGCGAUCUGAAUUUUAAUAAAUAAUCAUGUUUCGAUUGUCACUUAAAUUAGAAAAAACUCCCUAAUACUCUUUCCGGGGUAGGAAAAAGGAGGUGUGACACAUAGCAUGUUCUGGCUCAAUUUUCCAGAAUUAAUCACCUCUAAUAGGUUGUAUCUUAUGCAUAUAUACCAUCAUGUAAGCUUCUUUGGAAUACCACAAAUGCACCUCACUUAAAGGAUCAAGCUUUUUAUGGAGUAAAGCUUUGAUGGCAUGAGGGCAUGGUAUUCCAGUUAAGUCCCAUGCCCUGCAUGUACAUCUCUUCAAUUCCAGGUUCACUGCAUGCUUGUCUGGACCUUCAAUCACUUCAUAUCCAAAAUCUCCAUUAGAGUCAACUUCACAUUCUGCAGCAAUAACUCUAUAAUUACUAUAUAAUUCCAUGGCAUAUGGGUUGAUGUCUCCUUUCCAGUUUCUACACUCUUCUUCACGAUUUUUUACAAGUUCAUCACCUUCCAAUAAGAAGUUCAAAUGAAAACAGUUAAGAAGUAAAAAAAAAUAGCUAACAGGUGAAACAAAUAUUUAACAAAUGAAAGAAACGGUCAAGCAAAUGAAAGAAACAAAUAAGAAGUGGAAAAAUAGUUAACAGAUGAAAGAAAUAGUUAAACAUCAAAUUUUUACCUUAACUCUAAUCUCUUCCAGCAUCUUGAUUAUAGGAUUUUGUCUUGCCUCUAAAGUCCAUUUGUUGAAAGAUUCUGUAAAGUUAUUGUCCACCAUGUUGUUCUUGCAAAUGGUGUCAAAGUAUGCUCUACACCAAUUUUGGGGUGGAUAUCCUACUAAGGUCUUAGCAGCUUCUUCAGUCACAUCACCCAUGGACUUCAAAUGAUUUUUAAAUUCUUCUUCAUAUGUGCUCCAAGCACAGCACCACAACAACUUCUUUAACUCCAAACCCCUCCACUUCUUGCUCCAAUUAGCUUCUAUAUGCCUAACACACCUUCUGUGAUUUGCACUGGGAAGCAUAGUAGAAGCAACAUCAAGCAGACCCUAAAAAAAAUGAAAACAAGCAGUUAAACAUAUAGUCAAACUAGUACAAAGAAACAUGUGGAUAAAAACAGUUAGCUAUUACCUUUUGCAUAUCGGACAUAAAUGUCACUCCUUCACCCUCUUGUAAAUCCGAGGAACUUCUUAGCAACUCUAGAAACCACUUCCAAGUCCUACCAGUUUCUUUAUCAACCACUGCCCAAGCCAGGGGAUGAAUGUGUUUCACUGAAUUUUGUGCCAUAGUAACAAGUAAUAUUCCCUUACACUUUCCAUUUUAAAAAGUGCCAUCCAAACCUAUUAAAGGUCUCAAUCCUCCUUUCCGACCAUUUUUCAAAGUAUGGAAGCAAAUAUACAUUCUGAGAAAUUUUCUUUUUCCUUGUUCCAAAGUAUCUUUGGAUAUGUUUAUCACCACAUCAAAUCCAGGAUUGCUAUCCCUCAACUCUUGAGCAUAAGCCUCUAAUCUGUUGUAAUCAUCAAUGUAGCUAUCCUCUAAUUUUUCUAACACAAGUCAUUUAACCCUCUUCAUUGUAGAAUAGCUAACAUUAAGUUUGAAUUGAUACUCCAGAUCCAUUUUCAUGUAUUUUAAUUUAUACUUUGGAUUAUUUUGAACAUUGUUCUUGAAACAGUGUGCUAAAGUAUUUACAGUAGCUCUUCUAUUUUUAUAAGCUGGGUCAUAGUUAUGUUCCAAGUUUAAGGUCUUUAUUUUAAAUCCCUGAUUUUUGAUCCUUGGAUAUAUGGCGCCCAAAAGGACAUCCUAUGUCACAUUUAUAUCUCACCCUAGUAGUGUCACUCUUCUUUACUUUAAUGCUCAUUCUAGUAGCAACUGCACAAAAUCCCACAACUCUUUUAGCUUCAGCCAAGCUUUUAAAACUCAUUCCCUUUUCUAGUUCUUUGUAUUUUUCUAGUUUUUUAUUUACUUCUUUAGUCAUUUCCUUCCUGAAAAGUUCCAACUGUUCAUUAUCAUAAUCAGUAGAAUCAGUUUUGCUAGCAACCUCUUCAUCAGAGGAGUCACAAUCAGUACCAAUUUCUAAUGUGCCAAUAUUUUGUUCAUUAUACUGAAUAAUGUUAGGAGCUAUUACUUGUUCUUCACCUUCACGUACAACAAAUAACUGAACCACAUUGAACUUGGCAGAUAGUAUAGAUAUUAAUUUUCUAAUGCCCUCAUCACCCUCAACCACAUAGUAUAUAUGUAACAACCCGACUGAUCGCUUUGCUUUUUAGAACCCUGUUCCUUUAAAUAAAACUUCUCACGCUUGCUUUAACUAAUUUACGCCCUGCGGGGAUGGUUGGUUUGAGAUUUGGAAGAGCUUGGGUUGAAAUAUACUCAUUUGAUUCCUUAAAAUUUUCUUAAAAGGCUAAAUUUGACUUUGGUCAAUAUUUUUAGCAAACGGACCCGAAUUUGUAUAUUGACGGUCCUGGAGGUGUCUAGGAAAAUAUGGGCCUGGACGUAUGCCCGGAAUCGAAUUCCGAGGUCCCUAACCCGAGUAAUGAAUUUUAUUAGAAAUUGUUAAACUGAAAUUCUUAGGAUUUAAAGAAACUAAUAAAUGAUUGAUCAUGUUGGUAUCGGGCUCGUAUGUUGGUUCCGGAGCCUAGUACAGGUCCAAUAUAACAUUUAAGACCUACCCACAAAUUUUGAUGUCAAUUCUAGUAGUAUAAGUACGUUUCGGCACAUUAGAAGUAAAUUUAAGAACUUGAAGUUCAUAAGUUUUAUUCAAUUGGUUUGAGGGGAUGAUUCAUAGAUUUAACGUUGUUUCGGGUGUUCCGAAGGUUCGAGCGACUCCAUUUCAUGAUUUCAGACUUGUCAGUAUGUUCGGGUGGGGCUUAGGAGCCCUGAGUCGGACGAGGCUCGAGUGAAGUUGGAAAAGUUGAAAAGGACUGAAGCAUCUGGUAUUUGUCAUAACCGCACCUGCAGUUGGUCAGCCGCAGGUGCAAGACCGCAGAAGCGGUCGCCCUAUCGCAGAUGCGACCAAGGCAGGCCUGGCCAGAAACUGCAAGAGAGGCUUCCAGACUGCAGAAGCGGUCCCAGCCCGCUUGGCCAAUACUGCAGAUGCGGUCUCUUCCUCGCAGGCGGUACCGCAGAUGCGGUCCCCUGACCGUAGAUGCAAAAAUCACUGAAGUAGUGAGCUUCAUUUAAUACGGGUUCUAAGUCACUUUUGCCACUUUUCACUCCUCCAUUGACGAUUUUGGGAGCUUUUGAGAGAAGACUUCCACCUAGCACCUUGAGGUAAGUUUAUCCCACUUAUUCCUAGAUUCUAAUAAUUGUGUCUUAAUUUUUAACCCACACAAUUGAGCUAGAAGGAGUUAACAGAGGUAACAACAAUACUAGAAAUACUCUCGGCGCAUCUUAGCGUGAUAUACUAAAGUACGCCAUCAGCCAUGGGAGGAAGAGGCAGACCUAAGAAAAAUGUAACGAAGAUUUAAUUAGGUGAAUUCAUAGCAUCAACAAGAAGGAAUGGUGAUUCAAGCAAGGCCACGCCAGUUCAAGGAAAUCAAAAUCGCGAAAAGGAGAUGAUUACACCAAAGGUGGGGGAGAAUUCAAAAUCGGCGACGACGAGUAUAUAUAGAAACUUGAAUUCACAAUACAUGACCAAACAAGCUGAAAUUCAACAGAUCGAGGUACAAAAUUCGAAUAAUAUGGGUAGUAAAAAGGCUGAAGAAACACAUGCAGCUGAAUCUCACAGUGAGAAGCAACCAACUGUAAUUGAAGCUAGUACAGAGAAGGCUAAGGAUGGAAAAUCCUGGGCAAAUCUGGUUGCUAGGAACACCUUUGCUGCUAGAGGAAUGGGACUAUCAUUUGUAGCACCUGUAAUUCAAAAUAGGGAAAAAAUUAUUGAAUUGCAACAGGAUGAAAUUGAAAAGGAAAUUGAGAAGUGGAAAAUGGCAGUUAUUUUGUAUGUAGUUGGAGAUACGCCAAGUAUUGGAGCUAUAGAGAGGUUCAUUGCAUCACAAUGGAACUUCGUAUCUAGGCCGAAAGUGUAUUAUCAUAACGACGGUUUCUUUGUGGUAAAAUUCAGAAAUGUAGAAGAGAGAAAUGAGGUCCUAUACUCAGGGUCAUGCACAAUCAACAAUAAGCCAAUAAUUACUAAGGCGUGGACAACAGACUUUGAUUUCAAUGAAGAGGUUCUGAAAACAUUGCCAUUGUGGGUUAAACUACCAAAUUUGCCAUUGAAUUGUUGGGGAAUGGACUCAUUGAGUCGGAUAGGGAGUGGAUUAGGAAUCCCAGUAUAUGCCGAUGAGUGUACAACAAAAGUAGAAAGGAUAUCCUAUGCUAGAAUUCUUGUGGAAAUUGACAUCACAAAACCAUUGCCAACAAGAAUACUAGUUAAGGAUCUGAGCGGCAGGUAAUUUGAACAACCUGUUACUUAUGACUGGAAGCCUAUGUACUGUAACAAUUGCUUGCAACUAGGACAUAAUUGUCAAGUCAAACAAACACAAUAACAGAUGAAUAAGCAGCAAAAACAGAAGCAGGAAUGGAAACCAAAGGAGCAGGGGAAUCAAUGCCUUACAAAAGAUGAGAAUCAAACAUCAGCAGGGAAUAACAAAAAGCACAAUACGCAGGAAACAACAACUGAGGAGGAUGAAGGGUGGCAAGCAGCAAAGGGGAAAUCAGCCAAAAAAAACACUCAAACAGCAUCAACAAGAGGAGUUGAAGUGGGUAAUGGAUUUAAUGUUCUUAAUUACUCAUUCUCUACUACACAGAGUAAUAUGAUAAAGAAGGUUGAUAGAGGACAAUGUAGUCAUGGGGGAGGUAUGAAGGAAGGGAUACCAUAUAAUAUAUUUAAAUGAAGUUAGUCAGUUGGAAUGUUAGAGGGCUAAAUAAAGUGUAUAAGCAAAAGGAGAUGCAGAGCUAUAUUAAAUUAACAUCAUAUUAGUAUUAUGGCUAUUAUAGAACAUAGAGUACAAGAAAAGUUUUCACAAAAAAUCAUACAAAAAAUAUCUCCUACAUGGGAAUGGUAUGCAAACUAUGAUGGUGGAGGGAAGGGUAGAGUAUGAGUUAUCUGGGAUCCAAAUGAAAUCAGAUUCACUGUGAAGGAAGCAAAAACUCAGUACAUUCAUGGAGAAGUAGUUCAGUUGGAUACAAAAUUUAGAAUUUACAUUUACAGCCAUCUAUGGGCUGCAUACAAUAGAGGCAAGGAAAUGUUUAUGAAGGGGCUUAAUAAACUGGAGCCAAUAUCAGACAAAGCCUUGGCUAUGCAUGGGUGACUACAAUACUAUUCUGGCAGUGGAAGAUAGAAUAAAUGGUAGCUCAGUACAAGAAAAUGAAAUUAAAGACUUCAAAGAAUUCCUAAUAAAUACAGGAAUAUGUGAGAUGAGAACAGUGGGAAGGGACUACACAUGGACUAAUUCACAUGUGUUCAGUAGAAUAGACAGGGCAAUAGUAAAUGCAGAAUGGGUAAAUAACAUGCCACAAGUAGGUGCUAUGAUUAUGGAUCCUCUCUUCUCGGAUCAUUCCCCUUUAUGUGUUAAGCUUGGAGAAGAACCAAAGGCCUCAAAGCUAUUUAGAUUCUUCAACUGUCUGGCUGAACACAAGGAUUUCCUUCCAAUAGUGACAGAAGCAUGGAAUAAAUCAUCACAAGCAAGGAAUAUGGCAGGAAUCUGGAGGAAAUUGAAAGAUGUUAGAAGAGAAUUAAAAGGGCUGAAUACAAAUGAAUUCCAAGUAGUAGACUUGAGGGUCAAAAAUGCUAGACAAAACCUACAGGAAGUUCAGCAACAGAUGAGAACUACAAGCAUAUCAUUACAGAAGUUUAAGAAGAGAAAGAACUGAAAAAGCAGCUAGUGAAAUGGGCUACUAUAGAAGAAAGCAUCUAUAAACAGGAAUCUAGAAAUCAGUGGCUGAAGUUGGGAGAUUCUAAUACUGCUUUCUUCUUUGCCAGCAUAAAGAACAGAAUAAUCCACAAUAAGAUCAGGAGCUUGAAGACUAAUGAUGGAGAAAUAAUUUAGUCUGAGAAUGCAAUAGAAAAAGAAAUUGUGGAAUUCUAGCAGCUGAUACCAUACCAACCAUACCAACCAUACAACCAGCCAUUAUGAAGGAGGGCAAUGUACUAGAUAGGAGGCAACAAUUGAAGCUAAUAGAACCUGUUACUGCAGAGAAAAUUCAAAAUGCUCCAAAAGGGAUAGAUGAUCAAAAGGCUCUAGGAUGUGAUGGAUUCAAUUCAAAGUUUUUUGAGAAGACAUGGAGUAUCACAGGUCAAGACAUAUCUAAGGCAGUGCUUCAGUUCUUCAAUACAGCUGAAAUGCAUCUGCCCAUUAAUGUAACAACUAUUACACUGAUACCUAAGGUUCAGCAUCCUUCAACAAUCAAAAGUUCCAGCCUAUUUCUUGCUACACAGUGUUAUACAAGAUUAUUUCUAAAAUUUUGACUAGCAGAUUGCAAGGGGUGAUGGAUCAUUUAGUAGUAAAAAGCCAAUCUGGCUUUGUUCCAGGAAGAGUUAUCACAGACAACAUAGUUCUAAGCCAUGAACUGGUCAAAGGGUACGGGAGGAAGGGCAUCUCACCUAGAUGUAUGAUGAAAAUAGACAUGCAGAAGGCCUAUGACUCCAUUGAGUGGGAAUUCUUAGAACAAGUGCUAAAUAAUUUGAACAUCCCAGAGAAGUUUGUUAGAUGGAUAAUGGUAUGUGUAAAGACAAUAUCCUACUCUAUACUCAUUAAUGGGAAACCUAUGGAACCAUUCAAAGCUAGAAAAGGAUUGAGACAGGGUGAUCCCCUAUCACCAUUUCUUUUGUGCUUGGUAUGGAGUACCUUACAAGGAGUUUCAAGACUUUGAAAUAUAAGCAAGAUUUCAACUUCCAUCCUAGAUGUGAUAAACUAAAUAUCAUUCAACUGGGGUUUGCAGAUGACCUGUUGCUGUUCUGUAGAGGAGAUACUAUUUCUAUCCAAAUGGUAUUCAACUGUUUCAUGGAAUUCUCUAAGGCAUCUGGACUAAAAGCAAGCACAACAAAGAGUUCCAUAUACUUUGGGGGAGUGCCAUAAGAUAUACAUAGAGCAUAGUACAAGUAACUGGUUUUAGCAGGGGAGAGUUGCCUUUCAAGUACCUUGGAGUUCCACUCAGUACUAAGAGGAUUACUAUGAUACAAUGCUAGCCACUCCUGGAGAGAAUAUUAGGAAGAAUUUCCUCCUAGACUUCAAAGUAUAUAUCUUAUGCAGGAAGGUUGCAAUUGAUCAAAACAGUGUUGUUCUCCAUCCAAAUAUACUGGUCGCAGAUAUUUGUAAUUCCUAAGAAGAUGAUGAAGAAGAUAGAAGCAGUUUGUAGAACAUUUCUAUGGACAGGUGGAACAAAUGCUUCAAAAAAAGCUUUGCUAUCAUGGGACAAAGUAUGCUCUCCAAAGACUGCUAGUGGAUAUAAUGUAAUGGAUGUGCUUACAUCGAAUAAAGAUGCAAUUUGCAAUUACUAUGAAAUCUGUGUAAGAAGAAAGACAAAUUGUGGGUUCAGUGGAUUCAUUUGUAUUGUGGAAAGAAACAAGAAGUGUGGGAAACCAAUCCAAGCAAUGCAUCAUGGAUAGUUCAGAAAAUCAUUAAGGCAAAAAGAUAUGUAGAGGCAGCAGGGAUUGAUAUGAAAGAACUGGCAGAAUGGAACUACUUCUCUAUCAAGAAGUGGUACAAAGUCAUGCGAGGACAAUAUCAAAAAGUAUCAUGGAGGAGAUUAACGUGCAACAAUUUAGGGGUUCCAAAAUGGAUCUUUGUGCUGAAUCUAGCUCUGCAAAAUAGACUCCUUACAAGAAGUAGACUCCAUGCAUGGGGAAUUACAAAUGAAGUAAGUUGCCCCUUGUGUACUGAAGAAGAUGAGAUCAUAGAUCAUUUAAUGUUUAAAUGUAGAGUUGCUGGAAGUAUAUGGAGCAAGUUGCUGCAUUGGCAAGGCAUAACAAGACCCUCGAUGGAGUGGCAAAGAGAGGUACAAUAGGCUGAAGACAAAGCAACAGGAAACACUGCAAAAGCUCAAGUAUAUAGGCUGACUUUGGCAGGUGCAGUAUACCAUAUAUGGAGUGAAAGAAACAGGAGAGUAUUUCAAGAGGAGCAGAGGACAAUGAAAGUGAUAGUUAGACAAAUUAUACAAGAAGUUAUAAAUAGGGGAUUAAGAAUCAGAAAGUUAGAGAAGACAAUGGAAGAAAUGAAUUUCUAUCCUUAGUUUGAUAUAGAAGACCUGUAGUAGAAGUUGUGUGGAACUGGGUGUGUCUAGUUUCAGUUUUUGACAUUGUACAUAUUUGCUAUUGGUAAAUAAAAUUAUUUAAUUACCAAAAAAAAAAUUGUGUCUUAGGUAGAUUAAACACUAGGAUUAAGAUAAAAUCAUGGGGUCAGAGCAAAACCUAGGGUUUUGACAAAAGUUAGAUUUAACCACGAAAUUUGUUAUGAAAUGAAUUAGAAAUCAUAUAUUAUUGAUCCUUAGGUUAUAGAGAACAACUUUCUUCGAAAAACUUCGGAAUCCAGGCACGUGGGCCUGGGGUUGGAUUUUAGGAAACUUGUGUUAAGGGCUGGGGAAUUGCUUAAAUAGCUAGAAUACGAUCUUAUAAGCUUAAAUUAACUAGUUCCUACCUCAUUUAACUAGUUUUGGAUCGUUUAGCUCCAAAUUGAGGGUUGGGCUCGUUCUUGGUAUUGGAAGUACACUUUGGAGCGAGGUAAGUCCUUGUAAGAGGGAAUUGUCCCCAUAGGUUUAGUAAUUGAAUAAAUUGCUACUAUAUGCGGGUGCUACGUACGCACUAGGUGACGAGAGUCUAUGCGUAGCUACUAUUAUGCUAAGUCCAAGUAAUUUAGGACCCAAAAGCAUGCUCUAUGUGAUAUUCUUGUAACUUUAUAUUUAAUUCGGAUUUGUAUAAAUCAUGUUGAUUAGGGUAAAUGAGACUGGUGUUGAUACCCAAUUUUUUCCUAUAUAUUUUUCAUAUGCAAAAUAACUUUAAAAUAUCAUAUAUAAGCAUGUUCAAAUAUUUUAUUAUUUUUUUCAUAAUUUUUAAAGGUUUAAAUUGAUUUAUUUUCCCCCUUUUUAUCCAUAAAAUCUCAAUAAUUAUUUUCAAAAUUUAUUAUCUUGAUAAUUCAUCUAUUUGAUUUUUAUAUUUAUGCCAAAAUAUGGCUAAAAUAAUUUUUUUUUACAUAUUUUUACAAUUUCAUUUAGUAUUUUUAAAGCUAAAUUGCACAUAAUUGCAAUAUUAGCCAUUUUAAGGUAGAAUUGUCUUAUAUUCAUAAAAUUGAGUCUUAUAUUUUUAAAUUGUUAUUUAUGUGUUAUAAAUCAUUUUAGUAUUUUCAAUUUAUUUUUAGAAGCUAUUUACUAUUUUUAUAAAUUAAAAAGGGGAAGAAGUGACUAUUUAAAUUUUAGCCCAAAUUGGCUUUCAAAUCUAACCACAAAUCAAAUCCAAUUCCCCAAUACAAUUUUAAUUUUAACCCGACCCUAACCUUUUUAAAACCAACCCAAAGCCGGAUCCCCACUUACCCCUUUUAAUUUAGGUCGUUGAUCACUCAGAUCAACGACAACCGUUUCACCUACCUAAAAUAAACCCAAAUGACCCUUAAACCUAAAUCAUUUCCACCAACCCGCCGCCCUUGAAUUCCCCUCCUCUCCAAUUUUCUCUGCAACCUCACCUAAACCCUAGCCUCUGCCACCCAAAUCCACCUUAAUCCCUUUCAAUCCCUACCCAAUCUAUGGACUCACAUGGUUAUUUGAGAUGUGUACUCAUCUCAUAUGUCUCCUUGUGGCCUAUUUUCGUGAUUCCAUGGAAAGAUCUCAAAGAGAUCUAAUCCAGAUCCUGCUCGAUUUCUGUCUAUGGCCUUUUUCCGGCCACCCAUGGACGAUUGAGUCAGAUCCAUGGCUUUUCCGGCUAGAUCGGUAACUUUUCAAGGUCUUUCUAACUUUUUCUAGGUUCUCUGAAACCCUAGCUUUAAGAGCUUUCUGAUUUUUCUUUCAGAUCUGUCUUAGAUAUGUGCAUGUUAUGAACUUCUUGGUGUUUUCUCAAAGGUUCUUCGAUUUUCUUUCAAAGUGACUCUUCGUUUUCAAAUUAGGGUUUUUUAAACUCUUUUUAAAAAAAGAUCUCUUCUCCAAUUUUCAGUGUUGUUUUACUAUGUUUAAACGAUUUGCUUAUGUUUUUCUUCUAUUUGGUUCAUCGUGUUAAAAUCCUAGGUGUUUCUGGUUUUAUCCGAGUUCUGAAACUAUCUUUGUUUGUUUUGUAUGUAUACUUGUUUCGAUUAAGUUCUUUGUGUUUAGAUUCCCUUUGUUGUUGACUGAUUCAGAGUUCUUACCAUUUUUAACUCGACUAUUAUUAAAACUCUAAUUUCUUAAAAGGUUUUCCUCACUUAUUACUGUGAGUUCUUUACUUGUUUAUGACUUUCUUUACUUGUUUGACCGGUUUCUUCACUUUGGUUCUACGUGUGAGCCAUGACUGCUUGUCCUUGCUGAUUAUCGUGCUUCAAAUAGUCCUUAGCCUAUUCAUGUCACUCCUGUAUGUUUAUGUUCAUAUAGUUUGUUCCCUGUUGUCAAUAUUAUUGACCCUGCAUGUCUAAUACGCCUGUUCAUUCCUUUCUAUUUAUAUGAUGAAGUUCAGAAUCAUGACCACUUCUUGAUUAAUCUUGAUUGCCUUAAGUGACGGUUUAAUUAAAAGGUUUUCUUAUAAACCCUAAUUUUACUUGUUUGUUUAAGUGAUUGAUUCCUUUCUUUAUUUGCUGUGAUAUUUCACCCUGCUGAAUCCUUUCCCCAAUUAAGUAUAUUUUUGUACUUAGACUCAAUUAUUUACUCUAUACUUUUAAUAUCCCCUAUAUGGUCAGAAAUCAAUCUUUCUCAAAUUAGUUUUCUUUCCUUAAUUAUUCCUGUCAGUAUACGUUUGAAUAAUAAUUUCUUAAUUAAAGGAAAGUACUUGUAUUAAAUGAUUCUGAUUGUAAUUAUUUCCAUGUUUGUGUUAAAACUUUACUUGUUACCUUAUUUUUCACUCGUUUUCAAAGCUAUAAAUAUCCUACCCUCUCUUCUCUAAACACGGACAACUGAGUUCAAAGACACACACUCACACACUCAAAACUCUCUCUCUCUCUCUCUCUUUACUACUACUUGUGCUACUGCUUUGUUUAGCCAGUGGAAAGCCAAGACUAGACUGUGGAAUCCUACUUGCUUUACCUUUCUGCACCUUGCUUUCUCUACUGGUAUGUUCUAGUUAAUUUUAAAGCUUCAACAACAACAUGCUUCUUUAAUUGUUUCAGUUUCUCUCAUUCUUGUCUACUUCUGCUUGUGGUUCUGCAGUCAAGUUACAUUACCAACAUGCUAUGAUACUUCCCCUUCCCCUUUAGAUUAAUGCACUCCCCUAUGUGUGUUUCAAGGCAUACUCCGUCAGUCACUUAUUGUGUACUUGCUAUCUUAUAAAUCCCAAACCCUUAUUCCCUUUAUGUGUUUGUGUUCUUUUGGCUGGUUUGUGAUCAUGCCAGUAUCAGCUAUUGCUGUGCAUGUCUAAACCAGACCCCUGCUGGGGUCAUGUGCUUACAGACAAAUGUCUCCCCAAAAUCCCUUGACCCCCUUUUUAUGACUACUGAUUCUGUGUGUAAUCCCAUCUUGGGAGUUAUAGUUUUGUUUACUACUACAACUGCUUUCAAUCACCUCUGUUACUGGUUACUUUCAAAAAUGGACUUGCCAGUCCAGUUUUUAAACAAACUCUUUUUCAAACUAUGUCAAGCACUCUCACCUACUCCUGGAAUUUAGGUUCUGCCCCUUUUGUGUGAGCCUUGCCUUGGGACCCUUGAGCUCCCUCUGAACUUGAACACAUAAGAGCUGGCCCUUCCACACUGCACUCAUUCUGUUUGGUUAUGCAAAUCUGGGUGUGAGCAUUGUCUGGGAUCCCUGAGGUCCUUAGGGAACUCUGACACACCCAGAUAUGAGAAAGGCUUUGGAAUAAUAUCGGCAUUGAGGUGGUUCAUCACAUAAAUCAGAGAGGAAGUCAAGAUCAGACUUCAUAUGGUUGUAAUUUCUUAUUUUGCACUUCUUUUGUAAUUCAAUCAUUUGGUCUAUAAUAAUUUGUAAACAAGUAUGGGGUUGGCUAGUGAAAGGGGAAUGGGUAAAUAUGCACGCUUUAGCUAUCAAAAGGGUAGAAAGCAUGUCACUAGGUUUACAUUCCUACUUGCGCAAUAGAAACCAUGCCUAGGACUCAUUUCAUGCAUUAGAGAUCAUGCUCCUUAGGAUUUACACUUAUUGUUUUCAGUAUGUCCAUUUCACUAUCAUAUCACUUAGAAAUUCCUGCGUUAAAUGUGUUAAUAACCAGUGUUUUCUGUGAUCGCUCUCCUACUGCCAUGCACACUUAAAGAUCCUGUUUUAGGCUAAACAACACUAACCAACAUAUCAUCUCUGCAUAUUCUGGUGAUCAUGUCUAAAUGAUGUAAUGUUUGUGCAUAUAGAAAUCCCGCUUAGGAUUCUGCAUAUACAUCACUCUGCAAAUUAGAUACCAUGUCUUUAGGAUUUCAUUUAUAUUCGCUUGAGCACACUUAGGUUAAUUAUGAGAGCAUAAAUAAAACAACUUUACUUAGUCUUUAUAACCAACUGGCAAUAAUUUUAUGUGCUGAACACCUAGAACAACAUGUCUUAGGUAAUAAUAUGCUCCAAACUGUCUUAGUAAUUCUGAAUAACUACUGAGUACCGCUUCCACCUAGGCAAGCCUUAGGUAAUUACUUAAACCAAAACUGGAACUGUCGUCGUAUAAAUAUCAACCGCUACAACCAGCAGGCAGGCCUGAUUCGGAUUUCUUUUCUGAGUUAUCUAAUGAAUCUGGUUCUAACUUAAACAUCUUACUUAGGAUUUAAAAUUCAGACCUUAACUAUGUAUGAGUUGUGGUGUCUAUGUGCACUGCUUGCGGAGGUAUAACUGAGCCUUCUGUUCGCUUAUAUGUCUCCCUUUAAAUACAAUUCUACUUGUUUUGUAUGUCGCCUUAGUAUUUUACCUUUAAACCUAAGAGUCAGCCUCCUCCUUCUUAUAGGAUUAGGAGUCCUAAAUUCCUCCGGGACUAAUAGGAACGGGACGGGUAACAGCAUGCAAUAGAGGUCGAGACCAACCCUCGCUUUAAUUACCUUAACGGGGCGGGAAAGGGUAGAUAUAUGAUGACCGGUGCGCUAAUACCACGUGUAUCCCCUUUUCUGAGGAGUGUCAUACCAGGUAUCGCGUUGACGUGAUCUAUAUUACAAACAAACCUAGGACACCCCUUUAUUUUUAUAAGUAUGCUUAGACUAUAACUCUUUUCAAAACCUUGCUUUUAUGGUUUUCAUCAAACACUUGUGUAUUUAAACUCAAAAUCCAUAUUACUUGAGCCUUAUUUGUUUACUUGCUAAUUGCACAAAUUCACAAAAACUAUCUGACCGGGAACCACACUAGUGGAUCCUGAGGGGUGCCUAACACCUUCCCCUUAGGAUAAUUUCAAACCCUUACCCUAUCUCUGGUUGUCAAACAUAGUUGUAGUUGAACCUUAUAGGUGCCCUAACGCACCUUAAAAUCGUUAGGUGGCGACUCUUCAAGUACCCAAUUCCCAAAAGGGAAAUGAGUCAUCACACCCCAUAAAUGUUGAAACCCGGAACUUCUCUCCGAUGGAAGGGUAAAAAAAGGGGGCGCGACAACUAGUAAGAGGAACAUUAUCUUUCUUGGCCGUUUAAAGAGAAAUUGAUUAUUUAUGUGAGUAACUGCUUCCUUGACAUACACUAUUGUCUACUUGUUGUUGUGUUUAUUUAUAUUUGACCGCGUCACAUGUUUGAUUCGCGAGUGGGGUAAUAGAUGCAUCUAUGGUUCGUGCCGUUCGACCCUCGGCAGUGCACAAUUUAUUUUUAUGUUGGAUUGGGCCGUACGACCCUCGACACUACUUGCGCAUGCUUCACUUAGAAUUUUUCUGUCGACUGAACUUCGUAUAUGCCUUGAAAUGUAAAUGGUUAACCAUGAUAUUAUCUGGAAAGAGGAACUAUUAUUUCUUGCCUUGAAAUGCUAAAUAAAUUGUACUAUCCAUGCUUAGUAUAAAUUCUUUCUCAUAUUGUUUGACCCUAGUAAGUAUCAAGUUGACCUCUCGUCUCUACUUCUUCGAGAUUAGACGGGAUACUUAUUGGGUACAUAUUAUUUAUGUUCUCAUAAUACACUUCUGUACUUAAUUGUAUAGGAUCUGAGGCAGCUACCUAUGGCUAUCAGUCUGGUGCGUAUCCCUGAGCAAAUUUCGAGACUUCUACGGUGAGCUGCUUCCGUUCCUGUACCGUUCAGCAGCUUGAUGAAGUCUCACUUAUUUAUUUUGAUGUAUAUUCUAUUUCGGACAGUAGGAUAGAUUGAUUCUUUUGUAUACUCUACUAGUUGCCCACAACUUGUGACACCGGGUCUUGGCACACACAUUAAUAGACUAUUCUUUUGGAAAUUGUAUAAUUAUUUUUGGUACUUUACUGGUUAUUACUCGUUCUAUCUUAACUUAAGGAAUUAUUGAAAUUGUUUGGUAAAAGUAAAAUGAGAACUCAUUUGGUAUUUUCCGUGUUGGCUUGCCCGACAAUGGUGUUGGGAGCCAUCAUGACCUAUUAUGGAAAUGGGUCGUGACAAUAUACCUAAAGACCUUGUGACUAAAAUCUAUUUUACCUACCUUAACUUAAGGACUUCAGUGUAUUCAACACAAAUAUCAAUAUAAGACAUCAUAUCCACAUCAUAUCCUUGCAACACAUGAUUCAGAUUUUUAAUGUAAAUCACAUGAGGCUUCAAUACCUAUCUGCCCCUAUAAUUAAAGACCAAGUCUACCUUCUCAAGCAUUCUACAAAAAAAGUCAUAUACAAGUCAUACAAUAAUAAGAUACCCAUCCGACAUAUAAAAACAGAAAAAUAAAAGACAAACUAACAUUCUUUAUUGACCCUAAAAAACAAACAAUAAAAAAAGGCAAGGGUCCACAUGCAACCACCAAGGAGAUAACAAACAAAAAGCUAAAAUAGAUAUCUGGAAUUAACCACAUAUGAGACCCCAUACGAAUAAAUACAGAAGAAAUCAAUUCCCCAAACCCUACCAGAAACAUAAAAUAUGCAUGGACCACAUGCAACCAAUAAACUGCUAUAUAACAUAAAAGAUUCAAAUUGGGACCACAUAAAAAUAAAGAAACCAUAGACCAUUCCUUAAACCCUAAAUUUUGGACAACACAAAAUAAAUUGGGACCACAUGCAAUGUGAAAUUGAUUAAACAAAGGAAUCAAAGCAUGGAAGAAAUAAGUGAAUAUUCUUAAAACCUCAAAAGCAACAAAAGUUGACAGAUUCAAGAAAACCCUAAACAUAUUUUAUUCACAAAAGUAAUAGAAUCUUACGUGAAUGAGAGAAAAUCUUGUAUUUUAACUUCAUUGCUUCAACUUUGACAAAUAUUUUACUACUCAAUCUCUAUAAAGUACAAACAUUUUUGGGAUUAUGAAAUUGCCCAAACACGAGAGAAGAAGAUGGCUGAGUAGAAUAAAGGUUAGAGUGGGUGAAAUCUGUGUUUUAUUUGUUUACGGGUCGGAGCGGGUGGUUUUUUUAGGGGUGGGUAAGGUUCACCAGAUCGGGUAUGUAAAAGGGGUCAUUUGUUUUAAAAUAGGCCAAUGAGAUAUUGCCACGUAAUUAGUAAUAACCUAUCUUUUUUAAAAAAUAUGACCCGUUAGUUGGAGUGGCAUGUAAGGUCCAGGAAAAUAACUUUAGGGAUACCAAUGGCCCAAUAAGUGGACGAAGGGUAUUUUUAACCCUAAAACUAUAGUUCAGGGUCAGUUCUGGCCCUUUUCCGUAUAUAUUUCGGUAUUUAUUCUUUUCCUUCUAUUUGAUCGUAAAAGAAUAAUAUUAAUCGUCUUGAUGAAGUCUAAAAGCAAGAACAAAAAUAGAGUUACAAGUUUAUUUUGGGAAAGGUGUAAAGAUCUUAAGGUUAUGUAUUAUAAUUGAUUUCCGUAUCAUUAUUUGAUGUUAUUGAGUGUAGGGCUGUGCAUUUGGAUCGGAUNNNNNNNNNNNNNNNNNNNNNNNNNGAUCCGACAAUCCGAAAAAUUAUCCGAUCCAAAAUUUAAAAUCCGAUCCAAUCCAAUGUUAAUUCGGAUCGGAUUCGGAUUGCCCUUUUCAGAAUUCGAAAUCCGAAAUCCGAAUCCGAAAUAGGCUAAAUCCGAUCCAAUCCGAUCUGUGCACAGCCCUAAUUGAGUGGAUUUUGGUUAGAUUCGAUUGGUUUGGACGCGGAUUUUAGAAGAAAAGCUCUGGUAGAGCUUUGAUUUGCAUGCAGAGCGAGGUAAGUGUUGGGUCUAACCUUGAUUUGAGGAAAUUAGGAACCCUUGAGCUAUGUGCUAUGUGAAUUACAUGUAUAGCGGCGUAUAUGCAAGGUGACAAGUGUAUAUAUGCCGUCAAAAUACUUGCUUUCAUGCUUUUCUAUUUUCAUUAAUUAUUUUAUUCUAUUCUUAGCUGUCACAUGCUUUAAUUGCUUCAUAUGCCUUAACUUGCUACUUGCCAUUUAUUAUUCUGGUAUUAUAAUAAUAGGUUCUUCCAUGCUUUCAUGAUUUAAUUGCUACUUGCCUUAAUUGCCUUACUUGUAUACUUUAACUAUCAUAUAUUCGGAUUGUCUUGUUGCUUAUUGUAAAUUGUUGCACUUCUUGAUUCGGUACGAGAUUUCCUUUAUGGCUUUGCUUUCCUAUUCCUCAUUCGUAGAUCUUCUUGUGAAUUGAGUUGCGAAAUUUAUUACAUUUACUGAUUUUUGCUUAUGGAUCGGGUUGCAUGCCACAACAUGUGGAAUAAGGGAGGAUUGACAUGGUUAAAUAAGGGAGAAUUAUGAUAUUGACUCUAAUUAUAUGGUGGGAUUUGGUUGUGUGCCGCAACAUAUUUUGCUUGUUAUUAUUGAUAUUUACAUGGUGGAAUAAGGGAGGAUCGUAUUUGUACCAUGGGACCGGGUUUCGCGCCGCAACGGUUUAUGUGUUUUAUAUUCCUUAUUGUAUUGUGUUGGUUUCAGUGUUUUUGUACGAGACCUUGAGGAUUGGUAUUUCUGAUUUUACUGUUUUUCAAGGAUUGAGUUAUUUUCGUGAGUUAACUGCCUUAUUUUUCUGUUUUUCCCUUUCUUGUCAUUAUUAUUAUAUUGUGGACAGGUUAUUGUAAGUGACCCGCCUUAGCCUCAUCACUACUUCGUCGAGGUUAGCCUCGAUGCUUACAGAGUACAUGAGGUCAGUUGUACUCAUAUUACACUCUGCACUUCUUGUGCAGAUUUUGGAGUCGGUCCCUGCGGCGGUCAAUAGAUUGCUCGGGUUGACUAUCGGACGGAGACUUGAGGUACAAUUGUUUGGCAUUUGCAGCCCUGAAGUCCCCUUCUACCUUAUCCUAGAUGUGUAUUCUUUUCAGACAGUUUUACAUUCAUUCGGACCAUUAUCUGUAUUAUUCUAGUAGCUCGUGCACUUACGACACCAGAUCUAGAGUUGUAUUUUGAUAUUUAAGUUGUUAUGACUUUUCGCACUUUAUUUCAGUCAUUUCAGUUUAAUUGGCAUCACUUAAUUUGAUUUGUUGAAAAUGUCUUAAAACUAUUCUAGCGUUGGCUUGCCUAACAAGUGAAAUGUGCCGGAGAGAAUACAUCAAUAUAUGGAAAGCCAAACAUGUAGUGGACAAAUUCCUAUGACAAUUCACGGCUCAUCUGCCAUUGCAUCCAACUAUUUUUAUCUAAUUAGGUGCUUAAAUCUUGAUCAUUAGCAUUAGUGAUAGUAUAUCAUAAACACAUCACCAGUGUACGAUUUGCUAAACGAGAAUUGUUGAACGUCAAUUAACAGAUCAAUCCAACCACUGAAAUUUCAACUAUGUAAUAACCGUCCAAUCAUUAUGUCAGGGGCUUUUUAAUUGGCAAGACGUACUCACAAAAAUAACAUAACUGAACAAGAAAACUACAGAUCUAUCAAACCACGAAAAUAGCAAACCAAUUAAAAUAAAAGUGGAAAACGGAAUAUAAAGGAUUUAAAGACAUUUUACCUUCAAACCCAUGUCUGAUCUAAUUUGCUUGAUAACAAAAUUAAAACCGAGAAAGUAUAUCUAUGAUAUAUCAUUUAUUAGGUAAAUAUGUACGAAUCGAUUAAUGUUCCAGUUUUUAUAUAUUUUUGACAUAUUCAAAUUUUGAUAUAACACAUCAUGUACGCAAAAGAUCUUAAUCAAUCUAAACCCACGAUAUUGAUGUAUUCAGAAUUUUAAAAAUGAAUUACAUGACAAAUGAGUCUUCAUCCGUAUAUGUGGAAUAUUAAUAAUUUAGGGUUUCGAGCUAGUUCCUUUAUUACCGUCCUAUUACAGGCUUUUGUUCACUCUUGUCAUAAAGAUCAGAAAAUUUUAUGGGAAAUGAAAUGAGGAAAAAUAGAUGAAAAGCGGGGGAAAAAAAAAGGUUCCCAACAAUAUAAGAAACCCUAAAGGAUGGUGAAAACCAAUAGAUCAUCACCUAUAGUUGAUAAACUUCUCAUUUAAAGGCCUUAGGUAUCUAAUGGUAAUAAAAGAGAAAUAUUUUACGAUCUCUAUUUCAAUAUAUGUGACGUAAUUUGUCGAAAUUUAAGAAAAAUAAAUUUAUGAUUCUUGGGUCUUCGACAUAUUUUAAAAUAUUUGUGUGUCUUUAAGACUUUUCAAACCUGUAAUUUUAAACUUGCGUAAUAUUGUAUAGUUAUAAAAAAUUUCUUAUUAAGGGUAAAAUGAGAAGUUUAAAGUUAAAUACUUUUAAAUGUAGAAUUGUGUCAUUUUAUCUAAAAAUAGACUAUCUGAAAAUUCAAAUUAUUUACCCUUAAACUGUAAAGUUCUUUUUAUAAGGUUAUCAAUUACUAAUAUAUGUUAAAAUUUACCUGUAAUUUUCUUGUAAAUAACAUGAUUAAAAAAAUUAAAAUUAAGAAUGCAUAGAAUUUAAACCCACAAAAGAAUAUUGUAAGAUAACUGCAACAUGGAGUAAAAUGCGUAGGUAGUGAUGAGUUUAAGGGGCGGAAAAAUACCUGAAAGUCGUUAUUGGCGAUCAUUCUAAUAGUGCAAAAAACAGUAGCAACAAAACACAUGACCAUUCGAAUCUCCAAUACCAAUAUAGCAGUAAUAGCUUGUUUUGUCUUCAAGUAAAUCAACUCAAUUCAAGGCAAAAUAACUCCAUAUAAAGUUGUUGCCAAAAGUAUCAUCAUAAAACCAAGAAUAUAGGCUUUACUUGUCACACCUUCUGGUCGAUCACCAUUAGAUCGAACAUCUAAUAAAACAACACCAACUGUCAGCAGAACCACUGCAUUGAUAGAGUAGGGUGUGAAUUUCAGCUUCACUAUGAAGAAAGCACCUAUUGCCGUGAAGGCAAAUUGAGCAGCAAGAAGAAGUGAAGAGGUUGACACAGGAAGUUUUGAACCACCCCAAGAAUAGAGAAAAUCAUCAACACCGGUGACAACGCCAAUGGCGAAUGAUUCGAUAAAAAUUCAGGGUGUUAUAAAGUAUAACUUGGCAUUAGAGCCUUCGGUUUUUCGGCGAUAGAAGUAUAGGAUGGCAAAAGGUACAAGGGUGAAUGGCCAUCCAGCAGUUUGUAACCAACUGCUAAACCAUACUCUUGAACCGCCUUCGACAUAAUAUAGACGCAUCAUUAGAGGACCACCGCAGAUACCUUCAGCAAAUAUUAUUAUUAGAGGACCACCGCAGAUACCAACAUCAAAUAUUAAACAGUUAAUGAGCAGGAGGAUUCUCCUCAUCGUGGUACUUUUUUUCAAGCGAUUUGGAUACUAAGUUGGAGUAGUAUGCUGCUCAGGUAGAAUGGUCUUCUUCUUCUACUAAUGUUUGGGUUUUUGGAUCUGCAACCUGCGCCUAUUUAUAAUUGAGAAACAUUUUAGUCAUUCCCAUGUUUUGUUUCACGACAUGGAGUGGCC